GGAGCUCCUCCACCCCAGACGCGGCCGCCUCCUUUUUCCACCGGCACCGGGACGGCGCGGCAGCCCCCUUUUUCCUCUGGCACCGGGACGACGCGGCCGCCGCCUAUGCUGCUCCAUCCCACCGCAACGUCGUCGCUGGCCCUAGCCACGACUUUGUCGACGCAGCGACCGGAUCGGCGGAUCCAGCCCGUAUGGUGCGGCUGCGGCGGCUGAAUCCAUGACGGCGACGACGUCCAGCGGUUCCCGCCGGCCCAAGCAGGUCCAUCUUCUCCUCCAACCCCUCUCAUGGGCUCCUCGCUGUCGCCUCGAUGGCUGGGCCCCCUCCGCAACCGCCGGCCACCGGCAGCAGCCCCAGGGCCGAUGGUGACGUCCAGGCUGCGGCAUUGCUCAACACCGGCGACCUCGACGCCUAGCCCCAGCAAGCAUCUCUCUCUCUCUCUCUCCCCUAGUUCUUCUUUUAUGUUGUGCCAGUACGUACCACGGUGGCCAUCCAUUGUCCAGGCCCGUCCAUGCAUUGCAGAUUUUUGUGUAUGUGACUAUAAAGUGUUUGAUGAAAAAACAAGCAGGGUAGGAAAAGAUUUAUUUCUGUUUAUGCUCUUUUGUGUAAUCAAUAUUUCUUUUUCUUCUGAUGGGUGGUUGGGGGUUUGUUUUGGGAUGUUUCAUUGAAUUUGAAAAGACUUUUCAUGCUUACUUGGAGGCACCAAGGUCAACUAAUUCUGAUCCUAGCAUAAGUAUACUCAAAGGGAGUAUUAAUUAGGUACAGUCUGUUUAGAACAUUGCACUGUGUUUUUGCUUUGCUAAUACUGAUGUGUAAGUCAAGAAUGUGCGAGUAUAUGGACCUUUCUCUUUUGAAUAAAGAGAUGUGUAAACAACAAACUGAUGCAUAAACGUACAAAUUUUGUUCACUAGAUACACUCCAUGUUCAACACAGAUGAUCAUCCUUGAUAUGACAAGGUCAACUAUUUUCCUAAUAAUUAGUGGUUAUUUCCUAUGAGGGAGCCUUUCUACAUCUCACAUAGCAGAUCUUCUUUGCAACUCUCUUGCUCUCUCAUAAGAAGCUAUACUUGCAAGGGCCUCAAAGAAAAAAGUCUGUAUUCAACAGACAGUAUUGAAGCAUCAUUUUCGAAUAUAAAUUGGUUUUGUUUA